UACAGAGGGGGCAAGCGUUGUUCGGAAUUACUGGGCGUAAAGGGCGCGUAGGCGGCCCGCUAAGUCGGACGUGAAAUCCCCGAGCUCAACUCGGGAACUGCGUCCGAUACUGGCGGGCUUGAAUCCGGGAGAGGGAUGCGGAAUUCCAGGUGUAGCGGUGAAAUGCGUAGAGAUCGGGAAGAACAUCGGUGGCGAAAGCGCUCUGCUGGACGGUAUCUGACACUGAGGGACGAAAGCUAGGGGAGCGAAUGGG
rnacentral:rRNA from 1 species